rnacentral:rRNA from 1 species
GAUGAACGCUGGCGGCGUGCCUAAUACAUGCAAGUCGAGCGAACAGACGAGGAGCUUGCUCCUCUGACGUUAGCGGCGGACGGGUGAGUAACACGUGGAUAACCUACCUAUAAGACUGGGAUAACUUCGGGAAACCGGAGCUAAUACCGGAUAAUAUAUUGAACCGCAUGGUUCAAUAGUGAAAGACGGUUUUGCUGUCACUUAUAGAUGGAUCCGCGCCGCAUUAGCUAGUUGGUAAGGUAACGGCUUACCAAGGCGACGAUGCGUAGCCGACCUGAGAGGGUGAUCGGCCACCCUGGAACUGAGACACGGUCCAGACUCCUACGGGAGGCAGCAGUAGGGAAUCUUCCGCAAUGGGCGAAAGCCUGACGGAGCAACGCCGCGUGAGUGAUGAAGGUCUUCGGAUCGUAAAACUCUGUUAUUAGGGAAGAACAAAUGUGUAAGUAACUAGGCACGUCUUGACGGUACCUAAUCAGAAAGCCACGGCUAACUACGUG